rnacentral:rRNA from 1 species
UACGUAGGGGGCGAGCGUUGUCCGGGUUUAUUGGGCGUAAAGAGCUCGUAGGCGGUUCGGUAAGUCGAAUGUGAAAUCUCCACGCUCAACGUGGAGGGGUCAUUCGAAACUGCCGUGACUUGAGUACGGUAGGGGAGUGUGGAAUUCCCGGUGUAGCGGUGAAAUGCGCAGAGAUCGGGAGGAACACCCGUAGCGAAGGCGGCACUCUGGGCCGAUACUGACGCUGAGGAGCGAAAGCGUGGGGAGCAAACAGG